UAAAACUGUGAUAGAAUAAGUUUUCUCAACCUUUUAUGCCAUUCAAUCAAUCAGAAAAUUGAAAAUAAAAACUUCAAAAAAUAUUAUUUAAAAUUCUAAAAACAAAUAACUAACGUUUUGAUGUAAAUUUAAAAUAAAAAAAUACAAAUAAUAAAUAAGAAAAGGACGCAGAAUACAGACGCAUGAGAAGAAUUUAAAACAUGGCAUAAUAAAAUUCUUCGAUGAGUGGCACGACGCAUACAAAUAUACAUACAUACAUAGAUACAGUGCAACGGGGAAAUAUCAAAUCAACAUUCUACGCACAAAACGCUGGGAAUACCAAAGAGGGCACAAGUUAUUCUUUUGUGGCACUACAGACAACACACCGAGCCACCGAGGUAGAGAGUGAGGCAUAUGAGUACCGUUAAAAUGGGUGAGCAAGAAACGAAAAAUAAAAUGUGCCCACAGAAGCGAGAUCCCACAGACGAUCAAAGUUUGGGGAAAGCCUUGGUCUUGGCAACUCUUGGCAUGGCGGUCGGUUUGGUGCUCUGUGCCACCACAGCCGGCGCAGCAUCAACGGCCGCGGUGGCGGCGGAAUAAUUAUAAGUAACCAUCGCACGUAGCAGCGCUAGCUGUAUGACGGGAUUGUCGAUUAGGUGUGGCAAGACGUUGAAAAACAUAAUCAUCAAUAUUAUUGCUUUCAGCGAAUGCGGCUGGAUAAUGUCCCCAGUGUGUAUUUGGGCACACGCGCUUGUUUCUGCACACAAAAUGCCAGCAAAGUAACAUAAAAAAUAAAUAACA